UACGUAGGGUGCGAGCGUUGCCCGGAUUUAUUGGGCGUAAAGGGCGCGCAGGCGGCUACGCACGUCCGUUGUGAAAUCGCUCGGCUCAACUGGGCGGGGUCAGCGGAUACGGCGUAGCUGGAGCAAGCUAGGGGGCAAUGGAAUUCCCGGUGUAGUGGUGGAAUGCGUAGAUAUCCGGAGGAACACCAGUGGCGAAGGCGACACGCUGGGCCGUACCUGACACUGAACCGCGACAGCAUGGGGAGCAAACAGG
rnacentral:rRNA from 1 species